GAUGAAGAACGUAGUGAAAUGCGAUAAUUAAUGUGAAUUGCAGAAUUCAGUGAAUCAUCGAGUCUUUGAACGCACAUUGCGCCCCCUGGUAUUCCGGGGGGCAUGCCUGUCCGAGCGUCAUUGCUGCCCUCAAGCACGGCUUGUGUGUUGGGCUUCCGUCCCUGGCAACGGGGACGGGCCCAAAAGGCAGUGGCGGCACCAUGUCUGGUCCUCGAGCGUAUGGGGCUUUGUCACCCGCUCCCGUAGGUCCAGCUGGCAGAUAGCCUCGCAACCAAUCUUUUUAACCAGGUUGACCUCGGAUCAGGUAGGGAUACCCGCUGAACUUAAGCAUAUCAAUAAGCGGAGGA
rnacentral:misc_RNA from 1 species